rnacentral:pre_miRNA from 1 species
UUUGUACUCCCUCGGUCCGAAAAUUCUUGUCUUGAAUUUGUCUAAAUACGGAUGUAUCUAGUUACAUUUUAGUGUUAGAUACAUCCGUAUCUAAACAAAUGUAAGACAAGAAUUUGGGACGGAGGGAAUACUAC